rnacentral:lncRNA from 1 species
UUUCUAAUUUCUAUUUUCUGUUUUAUUUUCCUUUUAUUUUCUUUAAUUCCAAUUAUUUUCAAAAAUUAAUAUCUCUUUCAUUUUUCAUCCAAAAAUUAUGGGACCAGUUGCAUUAUUUCCCAAAUAAUUUCUAGUUUCUAUUUCUGAUUUUUAAUAUAUUUUAUUUCAUCAUUUGAUAUUUUUUUUGAUUUUUCUCUUUUCUGGUUAUUUUUAAUUCAUUUUAAAUAGUUUUUAAUAUUCAAAAAAUACAAAAAUAUUUUCCUAACCUAUUUGAAUGAUGAUGGAUCUAUGAAAAAUAUUCUCAUCAAUUUUUG